rnacentral:misc_RNA from 1 species
AACGCACAUUGCGCUCCCUGGUAUCCCGGGGAGCAUGCCUGUCCGAGCGUCGUUUCAACCCUCGAGCCCCCGUGGCCCGGCGUUGGGGCCCUACGUCUGUAGGCCCUGAAAAGCAGUGGCGGUCCCGCGUGGCCCUCUCCUUUGCGUAGUAGCAUUAGCCUCGCAUCGGGAGCCCGUGGGCGCUAGCCUCUAAACCCCCAUCAAGCCCGCUCCGGCGGCACAAGGUUGACCUCGGAUCAGGUAGGACUACCCGCUGAACUUAA